rnacentral:rRNA from 1 species
UACGUAGGGGGCAAGCGUGUCGGAUUCGAUUGGUGCGUAAAGAGCGUGUAGGCGGCUAGGUAGGUCCGUUGUGAAAACUCGAGGCUCAACCUCGAGAUGUCGGCGGAAACCGUCUGGCUAGAGUCCGGAAGAGGAGAGUGGAAUUCCUGGUGUAGCGGUGAAAUGCGCAGAUAUCAGGAGGAACACCGGUGGCGAAGGCGGAUCUCUGGGCCUUACCUGACGCUGAGGCGCGAAAGCUAGGGGAGCAAACAGG